rnacentral:misc_RNA from 1 species
GAAAUGCGAUAAUUAAUGUGAAUUGCAGAAUUCAGUGAAUCAUCGAGUCUUUGAACGCACAUUGCGCCCCCUGGUAUUCCGGGGGGCAUGCCUGUCCGAGCGUCAUUGCUGCCCUCAAGCACGGCUUGUGUGUUGGGCUUCCGUCCCUGGCACGGGGACGGGCCCAAAAGGCAGUGGCGGCACCAUGUCUGGUCCUCGAGCGUAUGGGGCUUUGUCACCCGCUCCCGUAGGUCCAGCUGGCAGCUAGCCUCGCAACCAAUCUUUUUAACCAGGUUGACCUCGGAUCAGGUAGGGAUACCCGCUGAACUUAAGC